rnacentral:rRNA from 1 species
AGCAGCCGCGGUAAUUCCAGCUCCAAUAGCGUAUAUUAAAGUUGUUGCAGUUAAAAAGCUCGUAGUUGAAUUUCGGGAUUAGUACGUUGGUCGUGCCUUCGGUACGUACUGGUGUUACUGAUUCCUACCUUCUGACGAACCAUCAUGUCAUUAAUUUGGUGUGGCGGGGAAUCAGGACUGUUACUUUGAAAAAUUAGAGUGUUUAAAGCAGGCUCGCGCUUGAAUACAUUAGCAUGGAAUAAUGAAAUAGGACGUUGACCCUAUUUUGUUGGUUUCUAGGAUUGACGUAAUGAUUAAUAGGGAUAGUUGGGGGCAUUAGUAUUCAAUUGUCAGAGGUGAAAUUCUUGGAUUUAUUGAAGACUAACUACUGCGAAAGCAUUUGCCAAGGAUGUUUUCAUUAAUCAAGAACGAAAGUUAGGGGAUCGAAGACGAUCAGAUACCGUCGUAGUCUUAACCAUAAACUAUGCCGACUAGGGAUCGGAUGAUGUUAUUUUU